AAUCUGUCACCCUUACAAAGCCAGUGCUGAGGAGAGAUGAUCAAGUACCACAGUGAUGACUACAGUAACUUCUUGUGUUCCAUCAGUCCAGAUUACAUGUUCGAGCACAGCAAGCAGAUGCAGAGUCAACGUCGGUAAGGACUGUCCAGUAUUCGAUGGCUUGUUUGAAUUCUGACAGUUGUCUACUGAUGGCUCUGUGGCAAGGGCUGUGAAACUUAAUAAGCAGCAGAUGGACAUCACUGUGAAUUGGGCUGGGGGCUUGCACCAUGCAAAGAAGUCCGAGGUAUCUGGCUUCUGUUGUAUCAGUGACAUUGUCUUGGUCAUCCUGGAGCUGCUGAAGUAUCACCAGAGGGUGCUGUAUAUUGAUAUUGAUAUUCACCGUGGCGAUGGCAUGGAAGAGGCCUUCUAUAUCACAGACUGGGUCAUGACUAUGUAUUUCCCUAAGUAUGGAGAGAACUUUUCAGGAACUAGGGACCUACAGGAUAUUGGAGCUGGCAAAGGCAAGUAUUACACUGUUAAAUACCUGUUCCGAGAUGGGAUUGAAGACGAGUCCUAUGAGGCCAUUUUCAGGCUGGUUAUGUUCAGAGUAAUGGAGAUGUUCCAGCCUAGUGCAGUGCUCUUACAGUGUGGCUCAGACUCCUUAUCUGGGGAUUGGUUAGGUUGCUUCAACCUGACCAUCAAAGUGCAUGCUGGGGGGCAUGCCAAGUGUUUGGAAUUUGUCAAGAGCUUUAACCUGCCUAUUCCAAUGCUGGGAGGAGGUGGUUACAUCAUUUGUAAUGUUGCAGAGUGCUGGACAUAGGAGACAGCUGUGGCCCUGGAUGCAGAAAUCCCUAAUGAGUUUCCAUACAGUAACUACUUGGAAUGCUUUGGACCAGAUUUCAAGCUCUACAUCAGCCCUUCCAGUAUGACUAGCCAGAACAUGAAUGAGUACCUGGACAAGAUAAAUAGUGACUGUCUGAGAACCUGAGAAUGCUGCCCCACACACCUGUCUCCACAUGCAGGUAAUUCCAGAGGAUGCCAUCCCUUAAGAGAGGGGCGAUGAGAGUGAAGAAGACCCUGACAAGCACAUCUCAAUCUGUUCCUCUGACAAAUGAAUUGCCUGUGAGGAAGAGUUCUCCGACUGAUGAGGUGGGAGAAGGUGGCCACAAGAACUCUUUCAACUCCAAAAAAGCCAAGAGAAUCAAAAGAGGAUGAAAAAGAGAAAUACCCAGAUAAGAAGAACAAAGUCACAGAAGAGGAGAAAAUCAAGGAGGAGAAGCCAGAAGCCAGAAGGGUCAAGAAACAGGUCCAGCUCUGGCUUCUUGCUGAGUUCCCUGCCUUUCUUCCCCAACAUCUCAGAUUUUAUAUUUUCUAUUUCUCUGUGUAUUUAUAGGAAAAUUUAUUAAAUAUAAAUAUCCCAGGGACUAGACAGAAACCAAGGCCCUGAGCCCCGGGCAGCUCUGCUGGGUGAACUCUUCUAGGAGCUGCCUUGCCACCCAUCCUUCCAUCCUUCCCCAUUUCUUAACUUUGAACCAUAAAAAGUGCCAGGUCUUGGUGAAAGGGAUACUUUUAUGCAACCAUAAGACAAAAUCCUGAAAUACCAAAUAUCUGCUUAGUAGCUUUGGAAAGGUGCCCUUAUUGAACAUUCUAUAAAAGGUGGCGGGGUCUUCAAGGAUCUCCUGUUCUUUUCAGGCUCCUAACAUAACAUCAGCCAUUUUUAGAUUGGCUCUGUUUUCAUACCUUCCCAGUGGCCUCAGGUGAGCCAAAAAACUCACAUGCCUGCCCUUUUUCUUCCCCUGAUACUUCAGGCAGCGGUUGGUGGUCUAGUUUCCUUUUUGAGAUACUAUUUUCAUUUUUGAGACUCUUUGUAAUAAAAUGGUACAUUUUUAUAAAAAAGUUAACUGUUUAGACCCUCUCUCACCACUGCCUGUCACAGUGGAAAGAUGUGUUUUCCCUUGUUCGAGACUUCACUCACUCAUCUGUUUAUCUACCUUCCUUCUCAGUACCUCACCCCUUCAGUAAGGUUCUCUUUUCUGUAACCAUCGAAACCUUGUCUCUAUCCACUCCUUUUCCUCAGCUUUUAUGCAUACUUGAAUGUCUUCCAUUAAAAAAGGCAUCCCUUCAACUUGGCAAUCCCUUUUCAGUGCUGCUGUCUUGCUCCUCCUUUGUAGUGAGUUUUUUUGAACAGUAUCUACACUUAAACCAUCACCUGUUCCUCACCAAUCCAUUUACCUUUUGGUUCCUAAUGUCACCACUCCACUGAAACUUUCCCCAGCAAAGUCCCCCAUCUCUGUUGCUAAACACAAGGAGUUACUUUUUUAGCUAUCACCUUGUUUGACCAUUUGGCCAUAUUUGACAGUACAACACUUUCCCCUCUUCGAAGAACUCUUUCCUUGCCUUCCAUGUCAUGCUGUGCAGGUUUUCCUUUUUGGAUUUCUUUUCUUUCUAACCUUUAAAUGCUAGUGUUCCUUGAGGCUGCACUCUGAGCCCUUUUCCAUUCAUUCUUAUGCUAUUCAUUCUUCCUGGAGAAUCCCAUCCACCCCCACAGCUUCUGUACAGCAUCAUCUGUAGGCUAAGGAUUCCUGAGGCUCAAUCCCUAGCCCAGAUUUCUCUUGAGCCUCAGAAUAAAGUAACAGUAACUAUAGAACAUGUCUGUUGAGAUAGCACAUAGUACCUCAAACUCAGCUUGUCUAAAACUGAGCUCCAUUUUUCUUGAUCCAUUCUUCCCUCUCUGAGUUUGGUUUCUCAGUGAAUGAUACCAGCUUCUCUAUUCAGUUGUCUAAAUGAGAAAUCUGGGCAUUAUCUUCCAUUUCUUCUUUUUUUUAUCUCUCCCCCUAUAUCCAGUAAUGUAGAUAGAUAUAUGGAUAUCCAUCCUUUGUAAUCAUGAAUUGUGAUUAAAAAGUUCCAUAAAACUGUAUAAAUCAUGAAGUUUUGCUCAUUUUUACCAGCAAAAUGUUGGACAUGUCUUUUGUUUCCAUAUUGCCACUGUCUACCUUAAAAUUGGGGUGUCAUCAUCUCUCUCCUUGAUUUUAGCUAAAGCCUUUUAGUUGAUUUCUGUGCUUCUAGUCUUGAACACCUCUAACCCACUCCCUCCAUAUGGGCUAGAGAGACUUUUCAAAAUCAUACCUGUGAAAGAUAACCAUUACAUGCUGGUUUUGCCUGAGGGCUUCUUUACACCUGCGUUUUCUCUCCUGGUUAUUUGCCUUCCUUCCACUUCUUUUUUGCAUGAUUGACCCAUAUUUAUCCUACCUGAAUCUAACUUUUUACUUACUUAGUAUUCUACUAUUUAUUAAUCUUACUCCACUUGUUAUUAUUUUCAACUUGUAAUCUUAAAUUUGAGAACAUCAACAAGGACUUGGGGAACUUGAAGUAUUUCUGUCUAGCUCAUGUUUGUUAUUUUUCUUCCUUGUCCAUUCUCAUUCAUUAUCAUAACAACAAACAUCCAAAGAGCUCCCAUUAAAGAGUAAUGUGUUCGCAUGUUCUCGCUCAUAGGUGGGUGUUGAACAAUGCGAACACAUGGACACAGAGGGGAG